rnacentral:rRNA from 1 species
CGCCUCUUGAAUAAAUAUAAGAGGUCCAGCCUGCCCAGUGACUCUGUUCAACGGCCGCGGUAUCCUAACCGUGCGAAGGUAGCGUAAUCACUUGUUCUUUAAAUGAGGACUAGUAUGAAUGGCACCACGAAGGUUAUACUGUCUCCUUUUUCUAAUCAGUGAAACUAAUCUCCCCGUGAAGAAGCGGAGAUAAACAUAUAAGACGAGAAGACCCUAUGGAGCUUUAAACUUCAUUAACACUUGCACUAAUCAAUGCAAAUUUCAGAAAAAUACAUAUUAUUCAUGCAAGAUGAUUAUCAGUUUUAGGUUGGGGUGACCGCGGAGAAAAAAAUAACCUCCACAUUGAAAGGAAUUUUAAUCCUUAGCUAAGAGCUACAUCUCUAUGCACCACCAAAAGUGACAUUAAUUGACCCAACAAUUUGAUCAACGAACCAAGUUACCCUAGGGAUAACAGCGCAAUCCACUUCAAGAGCUCCUAUCGACAAGUGGGUUUACGACCUCGAUGUUGGAUCAGGGUAUCCAGGUGGUGCAGCCGCUACCAAA